rfam:Stegodyphus mimosarum contig127294, whole genome shotgun sequence.
GCCUACGUGAUGUGGUGGUCAGCACGCUCGACGCGUAUUCGAGAAGUCCGUGGUUCGAGUCCCGGCGAGGGCA